AUUGAACGCUGGCGGAAUGCUUUACACAUGCAAGUCGAGCGGCAGCGCGGGGCAACCUGGCGGCGAGCGGCGAACGGGUGAGUAAUGUAUCGGAACGUAUCCUUAAGUGGGGGACAACUAGUCGAAAGACUAGCUAAUACCGCAUACGAUCGAGAGAUGAAAGUGGGGGACCGCAAGGCCUCACGCUUUUGGAGCGGCCGAUAUCCGAUUAGCUUGUUGGUGAGGUAAAGGCUUACCAAGGCUAUGAUCGGUAGCUGGUCUGAGAGGAUGAUCAGCCACACUGGGACUGAGACACGGCCCAGACUCCUACGGGAGGCAGCAGUGGGGAAUUUUGGACAAUGGGGGCAACCCUGAUCCAGCCAUUCCGCGUGAGUGAAGAAGGCCUUCGGGUUGUAAAGCUCUUUUGUCGGGGACGAAACGGUUUCACCUAAUACGUGAGACUACUGACGGUACCCGAAGAAUAAGCACCGGCUAACUACGUG
rnacentral:rRNA from 1 species